rnacentral:rRNA from 1 species
AUUGAACGCUGGCGGCAGGCCUAACACAUGCAAGUCGAGCGAGCGGCGGACGGGUGAGUAAUGUCUGGGAAACUGCCUGAUGGAGGGGGAUAACUACUGGAAACGGUAGCUAAUACCGCAUACCAUCAGAUGUGCCCAGGUGGGAUUAGCUAGUAGGUGGGGUAAAGGCUCACCUAGGCGACGAUCCCUAGCGGGUCUGAGAGGAUGACCAGCCAAACUGGAACUGAGACACGGCCCAGACUCUUACGGGAGGCAGAAGUGGGGAAUGUUGCACAAUGGGCGCAAGCCUGAUGCAGCCGUGCCGCGUGUAUGAAGAAGGCCUUCGGGUUGUAAAGUACUUUCAGCGGGGCGGCGUUACCCGCAGAGGAAGCACCGGCUAACUCCGUGCCAGCAGCCGCGGUAAUAC